rnacentral:rRNA from 1 species
GAUGAACGCUAGCGGCAGGCUUAACACAUGCAAGUCGAGGGGUAGGAGAAGCUUGCUUUUCUGAGACCGGCGCACGGGUGCGUAACGCGUAUGCAAUCUACCUUUCACAGAGGGAUAGCCCAGAGAAAUUUGGAUUAAUACCUCAUAGUAUAAUUGAAUGGCAUCAUUUAAUUAUUAAAGAUUUAUCGGUGAAAGAUGAGCAUGCGUCCCAUUAGCUAGUUGGUAUGGUAACGGCAUACCAAGGCAACGAUGGGUAGGGGUCCUGAGAGGGAGAUCCCCCACACUGGUACUGAGACACGGACCAGACUCCUACGGGAGGCAGCAGUGAGGAAUAUUGGACAAUGGGCGCAAGCCUGAUCCAGCCAUGCCGCGUGCAGGAUGACGGUCCUAUGGAUUGUAAACUGCUUUUAUACAGGAAGAAACCCCUCUACGUGUAGAGACUUGACGGUACUGUAAGAAUAAGGAUCGGCUAACUCCGUGCCAGCAGCCGCGGUAAUACGGAGGAUCCAAGCGUUAUCCGGAAUCAUUGGGUUUAAAGGGUCCGUAGGCGGUCAGGUAAGUCAGUGGUGAAAGCCCAUCGCUCAACGGUGGAACGGCCAUUGAUACUGUCUGACUUGAAUUAUUAGGAAGUAACUAGAAUAUGUAGUGUAGCGGUGAAAUGCUUAGAGAUUACAUGGAAUACCAAUUGCGAAGGCAGGUUACUACUAAUUGAUUGACGCUGAUGGACGAAAGCGUGGGUAGCGAACAGGAUUAGAUACCCUGGUAGUCCACGCCGUAAACGAUGGAUACUAGCUGUUGGGAGCAAUCUCAGUGGCUAAGCGAAAGUGAUAAGUAUCCCACCUGGGGAGUACGAACGCAAGUUUGAAACUCAAAGGAAUUGACGGGGGCCCGCACAAGCGGUGGAGCAUGUGGUUUAAUUCGAUGAUACGCGAGGAACCUUACCAAGGCUUAAAUGUAGAUUGACCGUUUGGAAACAGAACU